rnacentral:rRNA from 1 species
CCUACGGGGGACUGCAGUGGGGAAUAUUGCACAAUGGGGGAAACCCUGAUGCAGCGACGCCGCGUGAGUGAAGAAGUAUUUCGGUACGUAAAGCUCUAUCAGCAGGGAAGAAAAUGACGGUACCUGACUAAGAAGCCCCGGCUAACUACGUGCCAGCAGCCGCGGUAAUACGUAGGGGGCAAGCGUUAUCCGGAUUUACUGGGUGUAAAGGGAGCGUAGACGGCAGCGCAAGUCUGGAGUGAAAUCCCAUGGCUUAACCAUGGAACUGCUUUGGAAACUGUGCAGCUAGAGUGCAGGAGAGGUAAGCGGAAUUCCUAGUGUAGCGGUGAAAUGCGUAGAUAUUAGGAGGAACACCAGUGGCGAAGGCGGCUUACUGGACUGUAACUGACGUUGAGGCUCGAAAGCGUGGGGAGCAAACAGGAUUAGAUACCCCAGUAGUC